rnacentral:rRNA from 1 species
UCCAGACUCCUACGGGAGGCAGCAGUGAGGAAUAUUGGGCAAUGGAGGCAACUCUGACCCAGCCAUGCCGCGUGAGUGAAGAAGGUUUUCGGAUUGUAAAGCUCUUUCGGAUGUGACGAUGAUGACGGUAGCAUCUAAAGAAGCCCCGGCUAACUUCGUGCCAGCAGCCGCGGUAAUACGGAGGAUGCGAGCGUUAUCCGGAUUUAUUGGGUUUAAAGGGUGCGUAGGCGGACGCUUAAGUCAGCGGUAAAAUUGCGGGGCUCAACCUCGUCGAGCCGUUGAAACUGGGUGCCUUGAGUGGGCGAGAAGUACGCGGAAUGCGUGGUGUAGCGGUGAAAUGCAUAGAUAUCACGCAGAACUCCGAUUGCGAAGGCAGCAUACCGGCGCCCUACUGACGCUGAGGCACGAAAGCGUGGGUAUCGAACAGGAUUAGAUACCCCCGUAGA